rnacentral:rRNA from 1 species
AACGAACGCUGGCGGCAGGCUUAACACAUGCAAGUCGAGCGCCCCGCGAGGGGAGCGGCAGACGGGUGAGUAACGCGUGGGGAUGUACCCAAAGGUGCGGAAUAACUCAGGGAAACUUGAGCUAAUACCGCAUGUGCCCGAGAGGGGAAAGAUUUAUCGCCUUUGGAUCAACCCGCGUCAGAUUAGCUAGUUGGUAGGGUAAUGGCCUACCAAGGCGACGAUCUGUAGCUGGUCUGAGAGGAUGAUCAGCCACACUGGGACUGAGACACG